rnacentral:rRNA from 1 species
GACGAACGCUGGCGGCGUGCUUAACACAUGCAAGUCGAACGGUGAUGCUCCAGCUUGCUGGAGUGGAUCAGUGGCGAACGGGUGAGUAACACGUGAGCAACCUGCCCCAGACUCUGGAAUAAGCGCUGGAAACGGCGUCUAAUACUGGAUACGAAACUGGCCCGCAUGGGCAUGGUUUGGAAAGUUUUUCGGUUUGGGAUGGGCUCGCGGCCUAUCAGCUUGUUGGUGAGGUAAUGGCUCACCAAGGCGACGACUGGUAGCCGGCCUGAGAGGGCGACCGGCCACACUGGGACUGAGACACGGCCCAGACUCCUACGGGAGGCAGCAGUGGGGAAUAUUGCACAAUGGGCGAAAGCCUGAUGCAGCGACGCCGCGUGAGGGAUGACGGCCUUCGGGUUGUAAACCUCUUUCAGCAGGGAAGAAGCGAAAGUGACGGUACCUGCAGAAGAAGCACCGGCUAACUACGUG